UACGGGGGGGGCAAGCGUUGUUCGGAAUUACUGGGCGUAAAGGCUCGUAGGCGGCCAACUAAGUCAGACGUGAAAUCCCCUCGGCUUAACCGGGGAACUGCGUCUGAUACUGGAUGGCUUGAGUUUGGGAGAGGGAUGCGGAAUUCCAGGUGUAGCGGUGAAAUGCGUAGAUAUCUGGAGGAACACCGGUGGCGAAGGCGGCAUCCUGGACCAACACUGACGCUGAGGAGCGAAAGCCAGGGGAGCAAACGGG
rnacentral:rRNA from 1 species